rnacentral:rRNA from 1 species
AUUGAACGCUGGCGGCAGGCCUAACACAUGCAAGUCGAGCGAGCGGCGGACGGGUGAGUAAUGUAUGGGGACUGCCCGGUAGAGGGGGAUAACUACUGGAAACGGUGGCUAAUACCGCAUACUAUCGGAUAACCCAUAUGGGAUUAGCUAGUAGGUGGGGUAAUGGCUCACCUAGGCGACGAUCCCUAGCUGGUCUGAGAGGACGACCAGCCACACUGGAACUGAGACACGGUCCAGACUCCUACGGAGGCAGCAGUGGGGAAUUUUGCACAAUGGGCGAAACCCUGAUGCAGCCAUUCCGCGUGUAUGAUGAAGGCCUUCGGGUUGUAAAGCACUUUUAGCGAGGAGGCGUUACUCGCAGAAGAAGCACCGGCUAACUCCGUGCCAGCAGCCGCGGUAAUAC